rnacentral:rRNA from 1 species
GACGAACGCUGGCGGCGUGCUUAACACAUGCAAGUCGAACGGAAAGGCCCUGCUUUUGUGGGGUGCUCGAGUGGCGAACGGGUGAGUAACACGUGAGUAACCUGCCCUUGACUUUGGGAUAACUUCAGGAAACUGGGGCUAAUACCGGAUAGGAGCUCCUGCUGCAUGGUGGGGGUUGGAAAGUUUCGGCGGUUGGGGAUGGACUCGCGGCUUAUCAGCUUGUUGGUGGGGUAGUGGCUUACCAAGGCUUUGACGGGUAGCCGGCCUGAGCGGGUGACCGGCCACAUUGGGACUGAGAUACGGCCAAGCCUCCUACGGGAGGCAGCAGUGGGGAAUAUUGCACAAUGGGCGGCAGCCUGAUGCAGCAACGCCGCGUGCGGGAUGACGGCCUUCGGGUUGUAAACCGCUUUCGCCUGUGACGAAGCGUGAGUGACGGUAAUGGGUAAAGAAGCACCGGCUAACUACGUG